ACCUCCACCUACGUCAGGAUCGAUCCCAACAUCCUCAUCUGCUUGUGGCUCCUCUCCUGUUCUUGCUGUAGUGGUACUUGCUGGAUUAGUCUGUUUUGUGGUUUUGCUGGUGUUUCUGGUUCUGCUGGUGAAACGAUGUGUCCGUUGGAAACCUGAAGAGACUGACCCAGCUGCAAUCUACUCGGGAACGAGAUCUGAAGAUGUCAGUUAUGGACAAAUCAUCAUCAAAGAUAAGAGCAAAAAUUUGCAGAUAAGAGAGAGUGAUCCAGCUUCAGUCUACUCAACAGUGAGCAUAGAAGACAUCACUUGUGGAUAUCAUCAGACUACAGGAGAAGAGGUAAAGAAAAGAGACUUUAAAACAGAGCCAGACGUUGUCGAAGCUUCACUGAAGUAGUCCACCAGUCCAACCACUGACAUUCCCUACUGGUCUCCCCAUCACCUCAAAAAACAAUCUUCUUUUUUAAUGUAAUUAUUAAAAGUCUGUGUAAAUUCUCAGUUAUGCAUAUCAUGGUUGUCUAAGGAGCUUGAAAACAGACCGCAACUGCUUUAUUUAAUUUUUUAGUUGUUUUUUUUUUAUGAUGUUUCACCUCUCAUUCACGAGGAUUUUUCAGUUCUAAAACCACAAGGUUGAAAGUUUCAGGAAUCCCGGGAAGGCAAUCUGUCACUGUAGGUCCUCAGUCAUCCAGAAUUAAAAUUUAUAUUAAUCAUGUGAUGACACACAAGUUUAAUAGUGGGUCAAUGACCACCUCCUAAGGGAAAAGUCCCACCCCUUGGGAUGCUCAAUUUUUUUGAUGAAGCUGAAACAUCGUCAAAAAAAACCUUAAACUUAAAGUCCACACGCCUUUUAUUCAAGCUCCUCUGAAUUUUGAAAGGGUAUUGUUGUUUAUAUGUAUUCAGUAAAUUUACUGUUACUUACUGUAUAUUUUAUUCAUAUGUCAUUAUUUAUUUCUAUUGGAUCCUGUUCUUGUUCCCACAGCAGCU